rnacentral:rRNA from 1 species
ACCCUGGCCGGCGGCCUACACAUGCAAGUCGAGCGGUAGCACAGAGAGCUUGCUCUCGGGUGACGAGCGGCGGACGGGUGAGUAAUGUCUGGGAAACUGCCUGAUGGAGGGGGAUAACUACUGGAAACGGUAGCUAAUACCGCAUAACGUCGCAAGACCAAAGUGGGGGACCUUCGGGCCUCAUGCCAUCAGAUGUGCCCAGAUGGGAUUAGCUGGUAGGUGGGGUAACGGCUCACCUAGGCGACGAUCCCUAGCUGGUCUGAGAGGAUGACCAGCCACACUGGAACUGAGACACGGUCCAGACUCCUACGGGAGGCAGCAGUGGGGAAUAUUGCACAAUGGGCGCAAGCCUGAUGCAGCCAUGCCGCGUGUGUGAAGAAGGCCUUCGGGUUGUAAAGCACUUUCAGCGGGGAGGAAGGCGGUGAGGUUAAUAACCUCACCGAUUGACGUUACCCGCAGAAGAAGCACCGGCUAACUCCGUGCCAGCAGCCGCGGUAAUACGGAGGGUGCAAGCGUUAAUCGGAAUUACUGGGCGUAAAGCGCACGCAGGCGGUCUGUCAAGUCGGAUGUGAAAUCCCCGGGCUCAACCUGGGAACUGCAUUCGAAACUGGCAGGCUAGAGUCUUGUAGAGGGGGGUAGAAUUCCAGGUGUAGCGGUGAAAUGCGUAGAGAUCUGGAGGAAUACCGGUGGCGAAGGCGGCCCCCUGGACAAAGACUGACGCUCAGGUGCGAAAGCGUGGGGAGCAAACAGGAUUAGAUACCUUGGUAGUCCACGCUGUAAACGAUGUCGAUUUUGGAGGUUGUGUCUUUGAGGCGUGGCUUCCGGAGCUAACGCGUUAAAUCGACCGCCUGGGGGAGUACGGCCGCAAGGUUAAAACUCAAAUGAAUUGACGGGGGCCCGCACAAGCGGUGGAGCAUGUGGUUUAUUUCGAUGCCAACGCGAAGAACUUAACCUUGGUCUUUGACAUCCCACAGAAUCUUUUCAGAAAAUGGAUUUGCUGCCUCUCGGGAAACUGUUGAUAACAGUUGCUUGCAUAGGCUUGUCGUUCCACCUCGUGCUGUUGAAAUGUUGGGUUUAAAGUCUCCUGCACGAGCGCCAAUCCUAUAUUCUUUUGUUUGCCUGCGAUUUAGGCCUGUAUCUUCUAAGUGAACUUGUACAGUGAUUAAUCUUCACCGAAAAGGGUGGGAAUGUACGUCAGUCUAUAUCGGACCCUACACACCUCAAGACUAUACACAUUCGA